GCUUGGCUAAUAUCAGCUGGUAAUUCUGAGAUAACCCCGUGGCCAUAACAUGCUCAGGAUGCCGGCCGAUAUUGACCAAU
ncrna:Capitella teleta microRNA cte-mir-216b precursor